rfam:Triticum aestivum genome assembly, contig: Triticum_aestivum_CS42_TGACv1_scaffold_405634_5BL
CUUGUACUCCCUCCGUCCGGAAAUACUUGUCAUUGAAAUGGAUGUAUCUAGAUGUAUUUUAGUUCUAGACACAUCCAUUUUGAUGACAAGUAAUUCCAGACGGAGGGAGUACUUG